CCAGGGGUGCCGGAGUGGUCAAUCGGAACAGUCUGUAAAACUGUCGGGUUUAUCCCUGCGGAAGUUCGAAUCUUCCCCCCCUGGA
rnacentral:tRNA from 1 species